UACAGACCAAACUAAACGACUAAAAAAAUCCUAGUGACAGAAGCACAGGUCACACAGUGAUGAAGAAAGCUCCACACUAGCUAUGACCAGAGAGUUGCAACGGAACAAGAAUAUAGUAAAUGUCGGAAUGCCAGAAGAACAGACAUCUGAGUAAGAAAUUAAUGGAAAGGCACUGGGCCAGGGUGUCCUAUCUGAACUACUUACUGUAGAAACAAAGAGAAUGAGGUCAUGUAGGCUUAUUGGGAAAUGAUGGGAUAUCAUCAUC
rnacentral:lncRNA from 1 species